rnacentral:lncRNA from 1 species
UUUGAAUUUAAGAAUUAUCUGGAAGUUUGCUGCAUCACUAAGCUAUGUCUGACACAAAUAAUUAAGGGUGGUUAGGGAAUGUGACUUCCUUUAUUAAAACAUUUUUUUUCUAUUCCAACUUUUCUAAGAAAAAAAAAUGCUGUUCUCACCAGUUUUUUUUAAAACAUAAUCAUUGCUAUCCCAUCAGUAACACAAUUGGUGCCUAAGAACAUCAAAUGGUAAAUCCAAGCAUAUUAAUUACAUCAUUAAAGUAGCAUUUGGUACGCUGCUGAGAUACAUUACAAUAACAAUAACCUUUCUGUUAAUAGGAUUCGCAGCCAGCAUGUAAUGCAGAAGUUGCAUACAAUGAGGCUAUCCCAUUCCACCACCUCAUGGCAUAAAUCAGUAUAGUCAGAGCAACAAAGAGAAGGUUGAGGAGUUCCUAAAGGAAGCACGAAGUUCAAGCAGCUGUGGUGAUGUGUGUCAAGUGGUGAUUCUACCAGAGACAUGUCUGUGAUUAUUCUGUAUAACACCUUGGCUGUGUUCCACCAUCUAGCCUUCCUGAGACACUGCACUGCCCUCCAGAAAGAAUUGCUGGUGUGGAUUUAUCAUUGUUCAGUCCUGAGUGGGCCUGGCAACAUUUCCUGCAUGAGACCCUUGGUAAGUAUGCAGAUAAUGACAGCACCAACAUCUUUACAAAGAGCUUUGUUGGCUCUUCUCUCAACUAUGGGAAUGCUGGUGGGAACACUGCAAUUUAAAUAGGCUGUAUGAUUUUGAUGGAAAGGAAAUACCCAGGGGACGGCAAAGGCUAAGAAGCAAUUCAGUUAAUAGCUAAGUUAAUAGCUCAACUAUUAAAAGCAAAGAGAGCUAGUUACCGUAAUAGACAGCAAAACCAAUCUGGUAAACUAAAUAAUCUAAACCACAUGAAUCUUUAGUAGUACUUAAUUGAUCAUGGGAAAGCUAGAUGAAUACAGACUAGCAAACAAUAACGUAGCCACCAGAGUCUACUAUUUGGGAUUGAUUCUGUCUCCAGGAGAUCCAGUUGGAUCCCAAACUCAUCUUGUGGGUAGUUCUCUAGUUUCUGAGUGCAGAGCUAGAAUCACUACAUGCAGAUGCUUUUUGUGACUUCUCCCACAUUCUCUCAG